GAACAAAUGGGAUUAAGAACUCGGGAGAAGAGGGUGGAACCGGGGAGGAACUGGGGAGGAAAGGAAUAAUAAGUGCCCUUGCUCGGUCAGACACAGAGCUAGACCAGGAAUAUAAUUCAAGAAAUUCUACAUAUUAAAAACAUGGAAAGGAAGAAAAAUAAACAAAAGCCCUAAACAAACAAACAAAAAAACCAAAACUGCAGGGGAAAGGAUGUAACAUGGAAGUGCACCAUGAAGAAGAAUCUCUUUUUCAUCCCCACUCAUGAGAUAAGAGAAACAAAUGGAGAGACCGUCCUGAAAAGAAAGGAGGAUACACAAG